CAAUCAAAAAAUGGGCAGAAGAUCUGAAUAGAUAUUUCUCCAAAGAAAACAUACAGAUGACCAAAAUGCACAUGAAGAGAUGUUUAAUGUUGCUAAUUAUUAGUGAUUUAGUUACUUACACACACACACUUUGCUAAACACCUGAAAUGAACACACUGUAAAUCAGCCAUACUUCAAAUAAAAAACUGCUUUGAUAAAAUCUAAUUUUAAAAAAUUUAGAUACAAUAAAUCACUUCUGCUUUACAUCACUUCAUUUCACAAAAGACCUACAUUAUUAGUACGUGUUUUCACUAACCAAAAAAAAAAAAAAAAAAAACUCUGUAGAGUAUUUUAGCUUUUAUUUAAAAAAAGGUGAUUGCUUCUUUGAUUUAGACCAUUUCUCCUUACAAGAGGUUUCACAACACAGCCUACUUUUGCAUAAGAAGGAAACCUAUAAUAUCAUUUCUUCUGUAAGUAUUGGCAAGAACUCACCAGAAAAACCACCUGGGUCUAGACAUUUCUUUUUUGAAAAGUUUUAAACCAUGAAUUAAAUUUUUUUAACAGUUUUAAGACUAGUUACAAUAAUCUUUUUCUUCUUGGGUGAGUUUAUGUACUCUGCUAAGGAAUUAAUCUAUUUCAAAGAAUUGGUCCACUUCACCUAAUUUGACAAAUUUAUGUCCACAUAAGUUGUUCUUAGUAUUUCUACUAUCCCUUGGAUUCUUGUGGGGUCUGUAGUGAUAUUCUUUCAUUUGGCACUGGUUCUAUAUGUCUUCCCUUUUCUUUUUGUCAAUUUUGCUAGAAACUACCAAUUUUGUUAUCAAUCUUUGGUUUUACAGACUUCUGUUGUCUUCCUGCUUUGAAUUUCAUUCAUUUCUCCUCUUAUUUGGGAUUUAUUUUGUUCUCGUCUGUCUAGUUUUUGAGACAGAAACACACAGAUUUGCACACUUUCUUUUUUUUCCUAAUGAAAGCACUAAAUACAGUAAGUUUUCUUGUAAACACUGCCUGUACAGCAUAUAUUCUGACAUGAUAUAUAUUUUCAGUUUCGUUCAGUUCAAAGUAUUUUUUAAUUUCCUCUGAGGCUUCUUCUUUUAGCCAACAGAUCACUCAGAAGUCUGCUAUUUAAUUAUCUUGGAGCUUGGAGAUUUUCCUUUUAUCUCUGUUAUUAAUUUCCAGUUCAUUUCCACCAUAGUCUGAGAACAUACUUUGCGUUCAAUUCUUUUAAAUUUAAGAUUUUUAUUAUGACCAAGGUACAUUUUAUCUUGAUAAUAUCCACGUGUACUUAAAAAGAAUGUACAUUCCGCUGUUGCUGGGGUAAAGUGUUCUUGUAAUAUCAAUCAGAUCUAGUUGGUGGAUAGUGUUGUUUAGUCACUCUGUACCCUUAUGAUGCUGCCUGCUACUAUGAUCUAUUCCUAAGAAAUCAUGUGAAGUCUUCAAAUGCUAUGGCUUACUUUUUUGAAAAAACUGCAGACAUGUAUUCGGUAGCUCAAGUAAAAAGGACGCUUCAUAUACAAGGAUAUACAAAG